AGAAUCAACGCUGGCGGCGUGCCUAACACAUGCAAGUCGAACGAGAAAGUGGAGCAAUUCAUGAGUAAAGUGGCGCACGGGUGAGUAACACGUGACUAACCUACCCUUGAGUGGGGGAUAACCUAGAGAAAUCUGGGCUAAUACCGCAUAAUACCUUCGGGUCAAAGGAGCAAUUCGCUUAAGGAGGGGUCGCGGCCGAUUAGUUAGUUGGCGGGGUAAUGGCCCACCAAGACUAUGAUCGGUA
rnacentral:rRNA from 1 species